rnacentral:snRNA from 1 species
AGAUGUGAGGGCAAUCAGGCUUCGACAUGCCACCCCACUGAUCGCCACGGUUGAUUUGGCUCACCUGGUUGGCUAGGCCCCUUCACCUGUCCCCUUCCUCCCUCACCAUUCCUUGUGUGUCCAUCCCCAAGCUGCAUUGAAAAGGGUGACCUUUCCUGAAUAGAGAGGAGCCAAACUGGUCUUCUAGCUGAGCUCUCCUGCUAGAACAUCCCAGCAAACUCCCAAAAUACUAUGAGGAAUUGUGCGAUGUUGCAGAUAUGGGAACAUGAGGUCUUACAAAGACAACUGUUUCAUAAGAUUUAUGCCUAAUACGUU